rnacentral:lncRNA from 1 species
GUAAAUUAUAUAUAUUUAAGUAAAAUAUAUAUACUAUAUAUAAUAUAAAAUUAUUUUUAAAAUUAUAGCUAUGUCUUCACUGUGUGCUUGGCUCAGGUGGGAGCAGAGCUGGUUUGGUGCCCUGGGGCUGAAGGGCUUUGCAGGGAUCACCUUGUCUGGCCAUGAUGGGAUCACUGAGGAUAAACCUUCCCAUCUGUCCAUCCAUCCUUUCCACCCCCGGGUUUUUGUGCCCAAGCUCUGACAUGGGGCACUCAAUGCCUCUGCCUGAGCCACCCCAAAGUGUUGAGCACCCAGGUGGAGGUGCCCUGGUGGCACCCACAGCCAUCCCUGUGCCCAUUGCAGGUGAAAGCCGAGAAGAGCAGCAGGAACCUGGCCCGGCUCCAGGAGUGCUCGCGCAACGUCAACGAGAUGGCGGCCAACGUGGUGGCUUCCACCAAGUCGGGGCAGGAGCAGAUCGAGGAGAAAGACACCAUGGACUUUUCGGGCAUGUCCCUCAUCAAGCUGAAGAAGGAAGAGAUGGAAACACAGGUGAAGGUGCUGGAGCUGGAGAAGCGGCUGGAGGGGGAGCGGGUGCGCCUGGGCGAGCUGAGGAAGCAGCACUACGUCCUGGCCGGGGGCUGCGACGCGGCAGCAGAGGAUGGGGAGGCCAGGCCGGCACCGGCCCCCCGACGAGGCAUCCUCAAGAAACCCCCCAUCGCCCAGAAACCCGGCCACGGGGAGGUAGGGACCCCAGAGAGGGGUAUA